GCCUCGAUAGCGCAGUGGGCAGCGCGCGAGUCUCAUAAUCUCGAGGUCGUGAGUUCGUGAGUUCGAACCUCACUCGGGGCA
rnacentral:tRNA from 1 species